rnacentral:rRNA from 1 species
AGUGAACGCUGGCGGUAGGCCUAACACAUGCAAGUCGAACGGCAGCACAGUAAGAGCUUGCUCUUACGGGUGGCGAGUGGCGGACGGGUGAGGAAUACAUCGGAAUCUACUUUUUCGUGGGGGAUAACGUAGGGAAACUUACGCUAAUACCGCAUACGACCUACGGGUGAAAGCAGGGGAUCUUCGGACCUUGCGCGAUUGAAUGAGCCGAUGUCGGAUUAGCUAGUUGGCGGGGUAAAGGCCCACCAAGGCGACGAUCCGUAGCUGGUCUGAGAGGAUGAUCAGCCAAACUGGAAAUGAGACACGGUCCAGACUCCUACGGGAGGCAGCAGUGGGGAAUAUUGGACAAUGGGCGGAAGCCUGAUCCAGCCAUACCGCGUGGGUGAAGAAGGCCUUCGGGUUGUAAAGCCCUUUUGUUGGGAAAGAAAAGCAGCAGGUUAAUACCCCGCUGUUCUGACGGUACCCAAAGAAUAAGCACCGGCUAACUUCGUG